rnacentral:rRNA from 1 species
UCAACGGAGAGUUUGAUCCUGGCUCAGGAUGAACGCUGGCGGCGUGCUUAACACAUGCAAGUCGAACGAUGAUCCGGUGCUUGCACCGGGGAUUAGUGGCGAACGGGUGAGUAACACGUGAGUAACCUGCCCUUAACUCUGGGAUAAGCCUGGGAAACUGGGUCUAAUACCGGAUAUGACUC